UUAUCUUCCAAGACCAUCUUGC
rnacentral:siRNA from 1 species